CCUACGGGGGGCAGCAGUGGGGAAUAUUGGACAAUGGGGGGAACCCUGAUCCAGCCAUGCCGCGUGUGUGAAGAAGGCCCUCGGGUUGUAAAGCACUUUCAGUGAGGAAGAACGCCUGGUGGUUAAUACCCAUCAGGAAAGACAUCACUCACAGAAGAAGCACCGGCUAACUCCGUGCCAGCAGCCGCGGUAAUACGGAGGGUGCGAGCGUUAACCGGAAUUACUGGGCGUAAAGCGCGCGUAGGUGGCUUGAUAAGCCGGUUGUGAAAGCCCCGGGCUCAACCUGGGAACGGCAUCCGGAACUGUCAAGCUAGAGUGCAGGAGAGGAAGGUAGAAUUCCCGGUGUAGCGGUGAAAUGCGUAGAGAUCGGGAGGAAUACCAGUGGCGAAGGCGGCCUUCUGGACUGACACUGACACUGAGGUGCGAAAGCGUGGGUAGCAAACAGGAUUAGAUACCCUUGUAGUC
rnacentral:rRNA from 1 species